ensembl:lncRNA
AGAAACUUUUACCAGCUUCAGUCGAUCGUCACGAAACGUUUAAAUAUAAAACGGUGGAUUGUGGGGUUUCGGCUGAAGCUCGACGUGAAUCACUUUUAUUUUACGCGGUUCCCGUCUCUGCACUGCUCCAGAUAUUUCUAUUUUCGUGUAAAGUUUUUGUCGACGCUCAAUUCUGACUGUAGUAUUUAAAGAGACUAUUUUGAAUAUACAUUUAACUUUUGGAAAUGAGCAGAAAGAUACAGAACGGAAGUAUUAUAAUGAAUAUUUUGUAUAUGGGAAUAUGGGAAAGACAGUAUAUGUACAUGUAUGAGGGCUAUGUACAUGUAUGAGGCCUGUGUACAUGUAUGAGGUCUGUGUACAUGUAUGAGGCUUGUGUACAUGUAUGAGGCUUGUGUACAUGUAUGAGGUCUAUGUACAUGUAUGAGGUCUAUGUACAUGUAUGAGGCUUGUGUACAUGUAUGAGGUCUAUGUACAUGUAAGAGGGCUAUGUACAUGAAUGAGGUGUAUGUACAUGUAUGAGGGCUAUGUACAUGUAUGAGG